AGCCUUUUAGGUCAUGUGGGGAGAGGAGAACGCUCUUCUCCGCCUCGCUUCUGUCUCCUCGAGGACGGGUGUGAAGAGAGCGAGGGGCCCCCGGGAUGCUCCCGCUGGCUCCGGGAGACGCGCAUCUUCCAGCCGGGGCACGAGGCGGAUUCCGAGAAUCCCUGCCACUAACGAUGGAAAGGGAUAGGAGAAUCAGGUUCUCCACGGAAUAAGAGGAGAGGGGCAAGGUCGUCCCGGGGGCAGACAUCGAUCUUCACCGACUCUCCUUCUCCAAGGGCUUCUGUGAGCCCCGAGAAGCGGCCCUGCACAGCUCCUGGCACAGAGUAGAUGCUUAAUGAACACUCGGUGACCGACUGCCCCGUGCCAUUGGGGGAUAAGGAAGGAAGCUCUCCUCACUUCCAGAGAAUCUGUUCCAUUCUUAUCUCAGCCUCUAGUAGGAAAGAGAAGGGAGGAUGUAGCCAGGUUAAGAAAUAGUAUUCGUGGAAAAACAAGCUUAAUGUCCCGCCAUGGCCCUGAGGUACAAGGGAUGUUUCUUAACUUAGAAAUUAGGCUCAAAGGAGAAUUCCUUCACCUCCAGCGGUGGCUUUCUUUUGCAAAGGACGCAGGGGGAUGUGCAGUGAAGAGAUGAGCAAUAAUCACCAAGAACUAAAUCCGAGUUUGGUUACCGGACCAAAGACUUGUCCCGAGAGUUCUGGGACUACAUGUAGGUUGGAUAUAAUGCCUCUUUAAACACCAACUGUUUUUGGACUUAACGGCUAGGAACCAGAUUCGUUCUAACGUCAAGAAGACACAUCCAAAUAGCCCUCUGAACAGCCCCCCCCUUACUACUAUUCUCAUUACCACCACCUUCCUUUCACAACUACACCUCCCUCUUCCCAGUAUCCCUAGGUCUUUGGAAUGAUGUGAUGGAGAUACCUCCGUAUUUGAUAUUGACCCUCUCUGGCCUUCACUUUUUCUAACACUGGGUCUGGUUAGAGGCAAAAUAAUGAGAGGGAAAAGAGGUCAGUCGCAUAAAAUGGAUAGAGAACAAUUUCCAAGAGAAGGAAAUAUAGAGUCCUAAUCAAUCAGAUUCUUUCCCUUCUUCCUUUUAGUUGUCUUAAAGCAUUAAAAAAAAAAAAAAAAAAAAAAAAGCCAAUUUCUGGUUUCCAUACCUUCCGCCUUCAUUUGUUGCCAAAUGUAAAGGUUAGGGGAAAAAAAAAAAAGAUUCAGUUCAGUUAUUUCCAGAGACCACUCCUCACCUCCCUUUGAGUCCGGCUCUUUCGAGCUUCUCCCAAUAAUUCGCAGGAAUCAGGUACCCGUCCUGGAAAGGUCGGGGUAUGGAGGAGGAUUAAGGAGUAAAGGAUCGGGCUUCGAGAUCCAGAACGCAGCCAGCAGACAUCAUGCCAUUUUUAUGUGAUAUCACCAACCCAAGGUCACAAUGCAUUAAAAAA